rnacentral:rRNA from 1 species
UACUCCAACCCAUUGUGACCUUACCUAUGUUCUGUUGCCUCGGCGGCGUGGUCAGCGCCCCUCUGAAAAGAGGACGAUGCCCUCCCGCCGGCAGCACCAAACUCUUUGAAUUUUACAGCGGAUUACAGUUCUGAUUUGAAAACAAAAAAACAAGUUAAAACUUUCAACAACGGAUCUCUUGGUUCUGGCAUCGAUGAAGAACGCAGCGAAAUGCGAUAAGUAAUGUGAAUUGCAGAAUUCAGUGAAUCAUCGAAUCUUUGAACGCACAUUGCGCCCGGCAGUAAUCUGCCGGGCAUGCCUGUCCGAGCGUCAUUUCAACCCUCGAACCUCCGUUUCCUCAGGGAAGCUCAGGGUCGGUGUUGGGGCGCUACGGCGAGUCUUCGCGACCCUCCGUAGGCCCUGAAAUACAGUGGCGGUCCCGCCGCGGUUGCCUUCUGCGUAGUAAGUCUCUUUUGCAAGCUCGCAUUGGGUCCCGGCGGAGGCCUGCCGUCAAACCACCUAUAACUCCAGAUGGUUUGACCUCGGAUCAGGUAGGGUUACCCGCUGAACUUAAGCAUAUCAAUAAGCGAGGUUA